rnacentral:tRNA from 1 species
GGCCUGAUGGUCUAGUAGCAUGAUUCCUGCUUUGGGUGCAGGAGGUCACGGGUUCAAUUCCCGUUCAGGCCC